rnacentral:snRNA from 1 species
CCGGGCGGAGCGGCCGUC